UCGAAAUCCCAGCAGUAUAAAUAAUGACGCUGGAAUCCCAACACUACUCAGAAUGCCGACACCGGCAUCCUUAAUAGGGUCACAAGCUCGGCUCUGAAAUUAUGACCACCAGGAUCCCGAACGAGCGACGGCCAGACAGUCUGACAGCGUAAAGAAGAACAAGGAGUCCUGGAAGUGAUGAUAUGGCCCCCACAGAGCCUUGAUCUCAACAUCAUCAGUCUGUCUGGGAUUACAUGAAGAGACAGAAAGCCUUGAGCAAGCCUAUAUCCACAGAAGAUCUGUGGUUAGUUCUUCAAAAACUAUGCAAGUGAAGGCAAACGGUGGCCACACCAAAAAUAGAUUUGAUUUAGAUUUCACUUCUGUUCCUUUACUUUGCAUUUUGUUAUUUGCUAAAAAUAAACUAUUAACACUUC